CUGCAUGGUGUCGUCAGCUCGUGCCGUGAGGUGUCGGCUUAAGUGCCAUAACGAGCGCAACCCCUGCGACUAGUUGCCAUCAGGUGAUGCUGGGCACUCUGGUUGGACAUAGACACACAAGUAAGGUGUGAGGAAGGUGGGGAUGACGUCAAAUCAGCACGGCCCUUACGUCCGGGGCUACACACGUGUUACAAUGGGAGGUACAGAGAGUUGGUCUUGCGCAAGCCGGAUCUAAUCCUAAAAGCCUUCCUCAGUUCGGAUUGGGGUCUGCAACCCGACCCCAUGAAGCUGGAUUCGCUAGUAAUCGCGCAUCAGCCAUGGCGCGGUGAAUACGUUCCCGGGCCUUGUACACACCGCCCUAAU
rnacentral:rRNA from 1 species